UACAGAGGUCCCAAGCGUUGUUCGGAUUCACUGGGCGUAAAGGGCGCGUAGGUGGUAAGGCAAGUCAGGUGUGAAAUCUCCGGGCUCAACCCGGAAAUGGCAUUCGAAACUACCUUGCUAGAGGGUUUGAGGGGGGACUGGAAUACUUGGUGUAGCAGUGAAAUGCGUAGAUAUCAAGUGGAACACCAGUGGCGAAGGCGAGUCCCUGGAAAACUCCUGACACUGAGGCACGAAAGCUAGGGGAGCAAACAGG
rnacentral:rRNA from 1 species